GACGAACGCUGGCGGCGUGCUUAACACAUGCAAGUCGAGCGGUAAGGCCCUUUCGGGGGUACACGAGCGGCGAACGGGUGAGUAACACGUGGGUGACCUGCCCUCAGCUCUGGGAUAAGCCUGGGAAACUGGGUCUAAUACUGGAUAUGACUCCACGGUGCAUGUCGUGGGGUGGAAAGCCUUGUGCGGCUGAGGAUGGGCCCGCGGCCUAUCAGCUUGUUGGUGGGGUGANGGCCUACCAAGGCGACGACGGGUAGCCGGCCUGAGAGGGCGACCGGCCACACUGGGACUGAGACACGGCCCAGACUCCUACGGGAGGCAGCAGUGGGGAAUCUUGCGCAAUGGGCGAAAGCCUGACGCAGCGACGCC
rnacentral:rRNA from 1 species